UGGGGAAUAUUGGGCAAUGGGCGCAAGCCUGACCCAGCAACGCCGCGUGAAGGAAGAAGGCCCUCGGGUUGUAAACUUCUUUUGUCAGGGACGAAGCAAGUGACGGUACCUGACGAAUAAGCCACGGCUAACUACGUGCCAGCAGCCGCGGUAAUACGUAGGUGGCAAGCGUUAUCCGGAUUUACUGGGUGUAAAGGGCGUGUAGGCGGGAGUGCAAGUCAGAUGUGAAAACUCAGGGCUCAACCCUGAGCCUGCAUUUGAAACUGUACUUCUUGAGUGAUGGAGAGGCAGGGCGGAAUUCCGUGUGUAGCGGUGAAAUGCGUAGAUAUACGGAGGAACACCAGUGGCGAAGGCGGCCUGCUGGACAUUAACUGACGCUGAGGCGCGAAAAGCGUGGGGAGCAAAACAGGAUUAGAUACC
rnacentral:rRNA from 1 species